rnacentral:rRNA from 1 species
GUUUGAUCAUGGCUCAGAUUGAACGCUAGCGGCAGACAUAACACAUGCAAGUCGAGCGGCAUCAUACAGGUUGGCAAGCGGCGCACGGGUGAGUAAUACAUGUAAAUAUACCUUUAAAGUGGGGAAUAACGUACGGAAACGUACGCUAAUACCGCAUAAUUAUUACGAGAUAAAGCAGGGGCUUGAUAUAAAAACAAUCAACCUUGCGCUUUUAGAAAAUUACAUGCCGGAUUAGCUAGUUGGUAGAGUAAAAGCCUACCAAGGUAACGAUCCGUAGCUGGUCUGAGAGGAUGAUCAGCCACACUGGGACUGAGAAAAGGCCCAGACUCCUACGGGAGGCAGCAGUGGGGAAUAUUGGACAAUGGGGGGAACCCUGAUCCAGUCAUGCCGCGUGUGUGAAGAAGGCCUUUGGGUUGUAAAGCACUUUCAGCGAAGAAGAAAAGUUAUAAAAUAAAAAGUUAUAACUAUGACGGUACUCGCAGAAGAAGCACCGGCUAACUCCGUGCCAGCAGCCGCGGUAAGACGGAGGGUGCAAGCGUUAAUCAGAAUUACUGGGCGUAAAGGGCAUGUAGGUGGUUUGUUAAGCUUUAUGUGAAAGCCCUAUGCUUAACAUAGGAACGGAAUAAAGAACUGACAAACUAUAGUGCAAAAGAGGAAGGUAUAAUUCCCGGUGUAGCGGUGAAAUGCGUAAAAUAUCUGGAGGAAUACUAGUUGCGAAGGCGACCUUCUGGGCUGACACUGACACUGAGAUGCGAAAGCGUGGGGAGCAAACAGGAUUAGAUACCCUGGUAGUCCACGCUGUAAACGAUAUCAACUAGCCGUUGGAUUCUUAAAGAAUUUUGUGGCGUAGCUAACGCGAUAAGUUGAUCGCCUGGGGAGUACGGUCGCAAGGCUAAAACUCAAAUGAAUUGACGGGGGCCCGCACAAGCGGUGGAGCAUGUGGUUUAAUUCGAUGCAACGCGCAAAACCUUACCUACUCUUGACAUCCAAAGUACUUUCCAGAGAUGGAAGGGUGCCUUAGGGAACUUUGAGACAGGUGCUGCAUGGCUGUCGUCAGCUCGUGUUGUGAAAUGUUGGGUUAAGUCCCGUAACGAGCGCAACCCUUCCU